rnacentral:tRNA from 1 species
GGGAGCGAGGAGGCUCCGGUGAGCUUCGCGGACUUCAAAUCCGUUGAAGGGCAUUUUCAAUGUCCUUGGUGGGUUCGACUCCCAUUCGCUCCC